AGUGAACGCUGGCGGUAGGCCUAACACAUGCAAGUCGAACGGCAGCACAGUAAGAGCUUGCUCUUACGGGUGGCGAGUGGCGGACGGGUAAGGAAUACAUCGGAAUCUACUUUUUCGUGGGGGAUAACGUAGGGAAACUUACGCUAAUACCGCAUACGACCUACGGGUGAAAGCAGGGGAUCUUCGGACCUUGCGCGAUUGAAUGAGCCGAUGUCGGAUUAGCUAGUUGGCGGGGUAAAGGCCCACCAAGGCGACGAUCCGUAGCUGGUCUGAGAGGAUGAUCAGCCACACUGGAACUGAGACACGGUCCAGACUCCUACGGGAGGCAGCAGUGGGGAAUAUUGGACAAAGGGCGCAAGCCUGAUCCAGCCAUACCGCGUGGGUGAAGAAGGCCUUCGGGUUGUAAAGCCCUUUUGUUGGGAAAGAAAAGCAGCAGGUUAAUACCCCGCUGUUCUGACGGUACCCAAAGAAUAAGCACCGGCUAACUUCGUG
rnacentral:rRNA from 1 species